GAGGGUUAAAACCAUAGUAUGAUUAUAUGAAAUGAAAUGGCAAAAGUUGAAAAGAAUGUUUCAUGUCAUCUGACAGAUUUUGAUAAAGAAAUUACAAAGUACUUUGUGAACAAUAUUGCACAAGAAAUCACAAAGUAAUAGCUUACAAUACACAGAUGCCAGCAAAUAAUAGAUACAAUGUCAAUUACAAUUUCUUUUUUGGACUAAGUUUACAAUUUUAAUGUUGUCAUCACACUCUUGUAGAAUCUCUACACCAUGUACGCAAAAAAAAAACUUCUUUUGCACAUAGAUGUGCUUGGUUUUGGUUUUCUGUCUUCUAAUGCAUUUAGUAUAAUCAAAGAUUAGAUCAAGUUACUCCGCUGGUAGUAUAUAAAACAAAUAUUAGAUCAAGAGAUUUCACAUUUCAGGUUCAAACUCCGUUGAUUCUCUCUGAGUGCAACUUUAUUUUAUUUGUCAUUUUUGUGCAGCGUUAUUUGAUAUGCUUUCUUGUUGCAAUCUUCGUUACAAAUUGAAUCAAUAACAUCGACGAUAACUCAUGAACCCGUUGACAUGAGUAAAAAACAACAUGUUUCGAUGUUGAAAUCUGUAUUAAGAAGACAUUUCCAAAAAAUAACUACGUAUAACAGAAUUAAAAUAUCAUAAAACAUUGAAAAUGUUAAAUAUAAGAAUAUCAUGCGUUUUCUCAUCCUUUCUGCCCCAGGUUAGUGUCUGGCCCACAUAACUUUAUCUUAUUUCUUCUGCUGAAAUAAACAUGGAAGAUUUUUUGAUUUGAGUGGUUUUGAUCCAUAAAAUUUUGUUCCUUGUGCAUUAUUUUUUACGAACCAAACAUACGCUACAUGUCGGUGUUUUUCCUCAAUAUGAGUGGUGAUUAAAAUGGAUGUAAAAGUAAGCACUAUUGGUGACACAGAUUGAAAUUUGGCACGCGUACAAAGCACUAUAACAGGCUAAGAGACAGAUCUAUAUCCUUUUUAAUUAUUUUGUUACUUGAAAUUAUAUGUAUCAUAUGAUUUGGUCUCUCAUUUUCCAUUUAUAAAUGGGAGUAGUUCUUUGAAAGUAACGACCAUAAACCAAUUUUGUUAUAUAUAUAUAUAUAUAUAUAUAUAUGUAUAGAAAAGGCUAAUUUGUUAAUAUUGUAUUUGAUAAAAAUAAC
rnacentral:lncRNA from 1 species